rnacentral:lncRNA from 1 species
CGCCAGGCUGGAGUGCAGUGGCAUGAUCUCGGCUCACUGCAGUCUCCGCCUUCUGAGUUCAAGCCUCAGCCUCCCAAGUAGCUCCGGGACUACAGGCGCAGGCCACCAUGCCCAGCUAAUUUCUGUAUUUUUAGUAGAGACAGGUUUUCACCAUGUUGGCCAGGAUGGUCUCAAUCUCUUGACCUCAUGAUCCGCCUGCCUCGGCCUCCCAAAGUGCUGUGAUUACAGGCGUGAGCCACUGCGCCCGGCCAAGAAGACACAACAGUCUUUAAUGUGUAUUUGAGUAACAACAAAGCAUCAAAAUAUAACUGCAAGUGGAAGUAGAUGAAUCAAUUAUAACAUGUGGAGGCUUCAACACCCCUCUCAGAAAUGAACAGAUUCAGCAGGCAUAAAAUCAUAAGGAUAUAGUUAAACUUAACAGAACCAUCAAUUACAUGAAUCUAAUUGACAUCUAGAGACUACUUCAUCCAAGAGCAGGUUACAUAUUCUCCAGCUCACAUGAAAUAUUCCCCAAGGUAGACCACAUUCUGGGCCAUAAAACAUACUUCCACAAGUAUAAAAGAAUAGAAAAAGUAGAAAUCAUACAAAGCAUGUAGCAUUUUCAUUAAAGAUAUUAGUAAAAUUGAUAAACCUUUAGUCAGGCUAAUCAAGAAAAAAGAAUAAAGACACAAAUUACUAAUAUUAGAAUAAAAGAAGAGUGAUCAAUAUUGACCCCAGGGAUGUUUAAAUGAAAUUUAAAGAGUAAUAAAGGAAUAUUUUAAACAACUCUAUGCCUAUAAAUUGGAUAACCUAGGUAAAAUGGACUAAUUUAUUGAAAGAAUCAUGCAAGGAUGAUCUGAGAAGGUCUACAUCUGUUUUAAAAAUUGAAUCCCUAAUUAAUAACCUUCCAGAACAGAAAGUACCAGGUGCAGUUGGUGUCACUGUUAAAUUCUAUCAAAUAUUUAAGAAAAAAUUGUACCAAUUCUCCAUAGUCUCGUCCAGAAAAUAGAAGCAGGAAACACUUCCUAACUCAUUCUAUGAGGCCAACAUUACCGUAAUACCAAAAACAGAUAAAGGCAUUACAUGAAAAGAUAACAACAAACUAAUAUCUUUCAUGAAUAUAGAAGUAAAAAUCCUCAACAAAAUGGUAGUAACUCAAGCCUAACAAAGUUAAAAGAAGAAAUAUACACCAUGACCAAGUGGGACUUAUUCCAGAUAUGCAAGCCUGUGUUAACAUUUGGAAAUCAGUUAAUCUAACCAAUUAUGUCAACAGAAUAACAAUAAAAGUCAUGAUUAUAUGAAUAGUUGCAGAAAAGAUACUUGACAAAAUUCAGUACCCAUUUAUGAUAGCUGUCGGCAAAUCAGGAUUGGGGGAGAACAUGGUCAACUUGGUAAAAAGCAUCUAUAAAAACCCUAAAGAUGGUCGGGCUCGGUGCCCCACGCCUGUAAUCCCAGCAUUUCAGGAGGCCGAGGCCGGCAGAUCACUUGAGGUCAGGAGCUCAAGACCAGCCUGGCCAACGUGGCAAAACCCCAUCUCUACUAAAACUACAAAAAAUUAGCUAGGAGUAGUGGUGGGCACCUGUAAUCCCAACUACUUGGGAGGCUGAGGCUGGAGAGUCACUUGAACCCAGGAGGCAGAGGUUGCAGUGAGCUGAGAUCACGCCACUGCACUCCAGCCUGGGCGACAGAGAAAACUCUGUCUCAAAAAACUAAAAAAUAAAAAACUCUAAAGCUAUCAUCAUACUUGAUGAGAGACUAGACGCUUUCACCCUAAGAUUAGAACAAAGGAAAUGUAUCUCCUCUCCCCACUACUAUUCAGCAUUGUAUUGGAAGUUUUAGCUAGAAGAAUAAGAUAAGAAGAGGAAGUAAAGGUGUAUUGAUUAACAAAAACAAAACACUUGUCUCUUUACAGAUGACAUGAUUGUCUAUGUAGAAAAUCCCAGAGUCUUGACAAAAGUACUUCUGGAACUGUUAAGUGAUUACAGUAAGGAUGCAGAUUACAAGGUUAUAUACAAAAGUCAAUUGCUUUCUAUAUACCACCAAUGAACAAUUGGAAUUUAAAAUUUAAAACACAAUUCCACAAAAAGGAAGUACUUAAAAAUCUUAAAAAAUAUACAAGAUAUAGGCCAGGGGAGGUGGCUCACACCUGUAAUCCCAGCACUUUGGGAGGCCGGGAUGGGCGGAUCACCUGAGGUCAGGAAUUUGAGACCAGCCUGGCCAACAUGGUGAAAUCCCGUCUCUACGAAAAAUAGAAAAUUAGCCGGGCAUGGUGGCAGGUGCCUGUAAUCCCAGCUAUUUGCGAGGCUGAGGCACAAGAAUUGCUUGUACCUGGGAGGCGGAGGUUGCAGUGAGCCGAGACCGUGCCAUUGCACUCCAGCCUGGGUGACAAGAGGGAAACUCCUUCUCAAAAAAACAAAAACAAAAACAAACAAACAAACUAUAUAUGUAUGAAUGAUAUAUAUGGGGAAGACUACAAAACUCUGAUAAAAAAUAAAGAUUUGAAUAAACAGAGAAGUAUUCCAUGUUCAUGAAUAGGAAGAUCCAAUAUUGUUAGGAUGUCAGUUAUUCCCAACUUAAUCUGUAGAUCCAAUACAAUCCUAAUAAAAAUCUCAGCAAGUUGUUUUGUGGAAUUAACAAAUUGAUUCUAAAGUUUAUAUAAAGAGGCAAAAGACCCAGAAUAGUCAACAUGGUAUUAAAGGAGAAUGAAGUCAGAGUACUGACACCAUCUGAUUUCAAGACUUACUCACUUAUCUCACUUAUAAGUGAGAACAUAACGCUAGAACAAUCAGGACAAUGUGGUAUUAGCAGAACAUUAGAUGAAUAGGUCAAUGGAAUAGAAUUGAAAGCCCAAAAAUAGAUGCCAACAGGUAUAGUCAACUGAUAUUUGCAAAGGAGCAAAGACAAUUUAAUACAGAAAUAAAUGAUGCUGAAAUGAUUGGACAUCUACAUUAAAAAAAAUCUAGCCAGGCAUGGUGGCUCACACCUGUAAUCCCAAUGCUUUGGGAGGCGGAGAUGGGAGAAUCACUUGAGCUCAGGAGGUCAAGACCAGCCUGUGCAACAUAGAGAGACCCCCUGUCUACAAAAAAUUUAAAAAUUAGCUGAGUGUGGUGGCUAGUGCCUGUAGUCUCAGCUACUCGGGAAGCUGAGGUGGGAGGAUGGCUUGAACCUGGGAGGCUGACGCUGCAGUAAGCCAUGAUGGCAUCACUGCACUACAGCCUGGGUGGCAGAGCAAGACCCCAUCUCAAAAAAUAAUAAAAAUCUAGACAUAGACCUUACACGUUUCACAAAAAUUAACUCAAAGUGUAUCAAUGACUUCAAUGUAAAAUGCAAAAUGAUAAAACUUUAAAAAUAUAACAUUGAAGAAAAUCUAGGUAAUCAUGGGUUUGGCUGACUUUUUAGGUAUGAAACCAAAAGCAAUAUCCAUAAAAGAAAAAUCGACAAUUGGACUUUGCUAAAAAUAACAAUUGCUGUUCUGUGAAAGACACUAUUAAGAGAAUGAGAAGACAAGCCACAGGUUGAAAGAAAAUAUUUGCAAAGAUAUAUCUGAUAAAGGACUGUUAUCCAAAAUAUACAAAGAACUCUUUUUUUCUAUUUUUCUUUUUGCAACUUUUAGUUUUGAUUCAGCGGAUAUUUGUGCAGAUUUGCUACCUGGGUAUAUUGUGUGAUGCUGAUGUUUGGGGUAUGAAUGAUCCUGUCACUCAGGUGUCAAGCAUAGUACCCAAUAGUUUUUCAACCCUUGCCACCUCCCAUCCCCCUCAUUUACUAGUCCCCAGUGUCUAUUGCCAUCUUUACGUCCAUGAGUACCCAAUGUUUAGCUCCCACUUAUAAGUGAGAAUAUGUGGCAGUAGAUUUUCUGUUCCUGGGUUUAUUCACUUAGGAUGAUGGACUGCAGUUGCAUCCAUGCUGUUGCAGAGCAUAGGAUUUUGUUCCUUUUUAUGGCUGCAUAGUAUUCCAUGGUAUAUAUGUACCAUGUAUUCUUUAUCAAAUCCACCAUUGAUGGGCACCUAAGUUGAUUCUAUGUCUUUGCUUUUGUGAAUAGUGCUAUGAUGAACAUGUGAGUGCAAGUGUCUUUUUGGUAGAACAAUUUUUCUUUUGGAUAUAUAUCCAAUAAUGGGAUUUCUGGGUUGAAUGGUAGUUCUAAGUUCUUUGAGAAAUCUCCAAACUGCUUUCCACAGUGGCUGAGCUAAUUUACAUUCCCAACAAUACUGUAUAAGCAUUCUCUUUUCUCUGCAGUCUUGUCAGCAUCUGUUGUUUUUUGACUUUGUAAUAAUAGCCAUUCUUACUAGCGUGAGAUGUUUUCUCAUUGUGGUUUUGAUUUGCAUUUCUUUGAUGAAUUAGUGAUGUUGAGCAUCUUUUCAUAUAUUUCUUAGGCACUUAUAUGUUUUCUUUUGAGAAAUUUUUUUUUUUUUUUGCUUGUUGAUUUGUUUACAUUCCUUAUAGAUUCUGGAUGUAGACCUUUGUCAGACGUGUAGUUUGCGAAUAGUUUCUCCCAUUCUGUGGCUGUUUACUCCAAAUUAUACAAAGAAUUCUUAAUAGCCAAUAAUAAUAAAAUAAAUGAUCUAAUUAACAAGUAAGUAAGAGAUCUGAAUAGAUAUCUCACCAAAGUAGAUAUACAAAUGGCAAAUAAUUAAUUGUAUGAAAAGAUGCUCAACAUCAUAUGUCACCAGGGAACUGGAAAUUAAAACAACAAUUACAUAUCACUAAACACCGAUUAGAAUGGCUAAAAUCCAGAACACUGAUAACAUCGAAUGCUGGUGAGAAUGUGGAGCAACAGGAAUUCUCACUCAUUGCUGGUGGAAAAGCAAAGCAGCACCAUUACUUUGGAAGACUUUGGCUGUUUCUUACAAAACUAAACAUACUCUUACUAUACAAUCUACUAAUCAAGCUCUUUGAUAUUUAUCCAAAGAAGUUGUAAAUUUAUGUCCCCACCAAAAAUGCACAUGAGUGCGUAUAGCAGCUUUAUUCACAAUUGUCUCAAACUGGAAGCAGUAGGUGAAUGGAUAAACAAUCUGUGGUAUAUCUAUAUCAUGGAAUAUUAUUCAGCAAUAAAAGGAUGUGAACUAUAUAUAUUUUUUCCGUUUUGUUUGUUUGUUUUUGUUUUUGUUUUUUGAGACAAGGUCUGGUUCUAUUGCCCGGGCUGGAGUGUGGUGGUGUGAUCUUGGCUCACUGCAAUCUUUGCCUCCCAGGCUGAAGUUUUUCUCCCACCUCAGCCUCCCAAGUACCUGGUACUACAGGCAUGUACUAUUAUGC